UGAUUACUGAAAUUGACAGAUGGUGUAUAUUUAAUGAAAUACAAAUAAACUUUAAAAAAUCUAAAUGCAUAAAGCCCUAGAAAAGUCAGUAUUAUAGUCCAAUAUAAGUUGUCUAAACUGAUUGGCGGAUAUUCAAAAGACAAAAAUAUGCUAUUUGACUGUUAGCGGGAGUGCAGUGUUCAUAUAUCAAAAUAGAGAUGAUAUUCUGUUUUUCUUUAAUUUUUUUGUUCUUAUUCUUUUAUGAGAAAAUUUCAUACAGCUGAUAUAAGCUUCUGUAUAUUUUUUUUAAUUGUAACAAAACUUUUUGGAAAAAAUAAAUUUGAAUUGAGAAGCUUAUGCAUGAAAUUUCAGAGAUGCAGUUUUCUGCAGCUUUCCAUAUUGAGCCAGUUAAAUUGUACAAUUUUGUGAGUAACAUGGUCAUGCUUCCUGAUUACAUACAUUAAUUGACAGCA